UGGGGAAUCUUCCGCAAUGGACGAAAGUCUGACGGAGCAACGCCGCGUGAGUGAAGACGGCCUUCGGGUUGUAAAGCUCUGUGAUUCGGGACGAAAGGCCAUAUGUGAAUAAUAUAUGGAAAUGACGGUACCGAAAAAGCAAGCCACGGCUAACUACGUGCCAGCAGCCGCGGUAAUACGUAGGUGGCAAGCGUUGUCCGGAAUUAUUGGGCGUAAAGCGCGCGCAGGCGGUCACUUAAGUCCAUCUUAGAAGUGCGGGGCUUAACCCCGUGAUGGGAUGGAAACUGGGAGACUGGAGUAUCGGAGAGGAAAGUGGAAUUCCUAGUGUAGCGGUGAAAUGCGUAGAUAUUAGGAAGAACACCGGUGGCGAAGGCGGCUAUCUGGACAGUAACUGACGCUGAGGCGCGAAAGCGUGGGGAGCAAACAGG
rnacentral:rRNA from 1 species